rnacentral:rRNA from 1 species
CCCAGCCAUAACAUGGCAACAUCUGCUCGCCAAACAACUACGAGUGAAAACUUAAAACUUAAAGGACUUGACGGUACUUCACCCAACCUAGAGGAGCCUGUCCAGUAACCGAUAACCCACGAUUAAUCCAACCACUUCUGGCCWCCCAGUCUAUAUACCGCCGUCGCCAGCCCACCUUGCAAAAGAAACAAMGUGAGCCAAACAGUACCACACUAACACGACAGGUCGAGGUGUAACUUAUGAAGUGGAUCAAGAUGGGCUACAUUUUCUAACCCAGACAAUACGAACAAAGACWUGAAACCAUCUUUCGAAGGUGGAUUUAGCAGUAAGCCAGGAACACAAUACCCAGCUGAAACCAUUGCAA